rnacentral:lncRNA from 1 species
AUGAAUAAAUGGCGAAAACAAUAUAAUUAUAACAUAUAUUUUUAUUUUACUUAUUUUAGGUCUGUGAAGCCAAACUUGAUGCUGGGGAUUUAUUUUUGUCAGUGGAGUCAAAUGGUUGAAGCAGAAUUUGCCCGUCUUACAUCUGUUGACCUGAAAGGGUUCCUUUUUGCUGUGCUUGACCAUUAUGGAGAGGUUCGUGGAGCUGUAGAAAAUCAAGAGCGGCAUAGGAGGGCUAACUAGGCUCAUAAAAUGCUUCGGAGAUGAUGUAAGUGUUCAACUGCGAAAUGUUCUCCUUUGUUUAAGUUUUAGGUUAUCCAGUUCAACUGAUGAACUCAUUGAAAGAAAGCUGAUAAGUAAAGUCUGUCAUCAUAUUUCACAACUGGACAUUUAGUGUGGUAACUUUUACAGAAUCUGUGUAUAUUGGUGGUAGGUUGGAUAUCAUAUUCUACUUGAAUGUCCUGAUAAGCCUGAUUCAAAAUCUCCAAUGAUAAUCAUAUAUUGAUGGAAUUAUGUAUCAAAAAGCUGUGAAUUUGGAGCUGUCUACAUGCUUCAUAAACACUGUUUAAAAAGUGUUUUUGUUUUCUUUUUGACUUCUUUGACCAGAGCCCUACACAAAGGAAGAGGACAGAGGACCUCAUUUUCUAAAGGAAGAUCCCUCACACACUUUCAAGACUGUGAAGGUUAGCAUUGUUUCUUUUAGUAAAUUUAAUAAUGACAGCACCACAGUGGAUUUUAAAU